CCCCAUGGAGCUUUAAACCCAAUUAUAUCUCUAACCACUAUAACCAUUUAACCACUUAGAACUUAUAUACUUGGUUUUAGGUUGGGGCGACCACGGAGCACAACCAAACCUCCACGAUGAACGGAACAACCCCCUUAUCUGAGAAUUACACUUCUAAGAAUUAGCACACUAACAUAAAAUGACCCAUUAUUGAUCAACGAACCAAGUUACCCUGGGGAUAACAGCGCAAUCCAUUUUAAGAGCCCCUAUCGACAAAU
rnacentral:rRNA from 1 species